GGUGAGUAACACGUGGGUGACCUGCCCCCAACUCUGGGAUAAGCCCGGGAAACUGGGUCUAAUACCGGAUAUGACCACAUGUUGCAUGACAGGUGGUGGAAAGUUUUUCGGUUGGGGAUGGGCCCGCGGCCUAUCAGCUUGUUGGUGGGGUGAUGGCCUACCAAGGCGACGACGGGUAGCCGGCCUGAGAGGGCGACCGGCCACACUGGGACUGAGACACGGCCCAGACUCCUACGGGAGGCAGCAGUGGGGAAUAUUGCGCAAUGGGCGGAAGCCUGACGCAGCGACGCCGCGUGGGGGAUGACGGCCUUCGGGUUGUAAACCUCUUUCGACCGGGACGAAGAGAAAUUGACGGUACCGGUAUAAGAAGCACCGGCCAACUACGUGCCAGCAGCCGCGGUAAUACGUAGGGUGCGAGCGUUGUCCGGAAUUAUUGGGCGUAAAGAGCUC
rnacentral:rRNA from 1 species